rnacentral:misc_RNA from 1 species
GAUGAAGAACGCAGCAAAAUGCGAUAAGUAAUGUGAAUUGCAGAAUUCAGUGAAUCAUCGAAUCUUUGAACGCACAUUGCGCCCGCUGGUAUUCCGGCGGGCAUGCCUGUUCGAGCGUCAUUUCAACCCUCAAGCCCCCGGGUUUGGUGUUGGGGAUCGGCUCUGCCCUUCUGGGCGGUGCCGCCCCCGAAAUACAUUGGCGGUCUCGCUUCAGCCUCCAUUGCGUAGUAGCUAACACCUCGCAACUGGAACGCGGCGCGGCCAUGCCGUAAAACCCCAACUUCUGAAUGUUGACCUCGGAUCAGGUAGGAAUACCCGCUGAACUUAAGCAUAUCAAUAAGCGGAGGA